UGGGGAAUAUUGGACAAUGGGGGCAACCCUGAUCCAGCGACGCCGCGUGUGUGAAGAAGGCCUGCGGGUUGUAAAGCACUUUUAGUGGGGAUGAAAAGCACAGCGUUAACACCGUUGUGUAUUGACCUAACCCAAAGAAAAAGCACCGGCUAACUCUGUGCCAGCAGCCGCGGUAAUACAGAGGGUGCAAGCGUUAAUCGGAAUUACUGGGCGUAAAGCGUGCGUAGACGGUUAUUUAAGUCGGGUGUGAAAGCCCCGGGCUCAACCUGGGAAUUGCAUUCGAGACUGAAUAGCUAGGGUACGGUAGAGGGAAGUGGAAUUUCCGGUGUAGCGGUGAAAUGCGUAGAUAUCGGAAGGAACAUCAGUGGCGAAAGCGACUUCCUGGACCAGUACCGACGUUCAGGCACGAAAGCGUGGGGAGCAAACAGG
rnacentral:rRNA from 1 species